rnacentral:rRNA from 1 species
AUACGGAGGAUCCGAGCGUUAUCCGGAUUUAUUGGGUUUAAAGGGUGCGCAGGCGGGAGAUUAAGUCGGCGGUGAAAUUUUGCCGCUCAACUGUAAAAGUGCCUUCGAAACUGGUUUCCUUGAGUGUAGAUGAAGUAGGCGGAAUUUGUGGUGUAGCGGUGAAAUGCAUAGAUAUCACGAGGAACUCCGAUUGCGCAGGCAGCUUACUAAACUACUACUGACGCUCAGGCACGAAGGCGUGGGGAUCAAACAGGAUUAGAUACCCUGGUAGUCCACGCAGUAAACGAUGAUUACUAGCUGUUUGCGAUACAAUGUAAGCGGCUGAGCGAAAGCGUUAAGUAAUCCACCUGGGGAGUACGUUCGCAAGAAUGAAACUCAAAUGAAUUGACGGGG